UUUUACAGAAGAAGCUGCUCUUGCCGUUGAAGGAAAAAGCGAUGCCAUUGAAUGGCUUGGAGGAAUCACUGUAGUUGGAGGAGGGGCGGCUACUUUUGAUUGAGAGAUGGCCAGUCCAGGAGUUGCAGAGCUAAGCGUAGCAGUCGUAAGGCCUGCCAGAACCUCCAAAACCCUCAAUCAAUAGGAGUUUUUUUCCCUCCCUUCUACUAUGUAUACUAUACAACACUUUUUUCUAUUUUUAGGAUAUGAGGAGACCUCCCCUUUCCUCUAGUACUGACCUAACAUCAGUCAUCCGUUGGUCUACCUCAGAAACUCCCCACUCUCGCCC
rnacentral:lncRNA from 1 species